rnacentral:rRNA from 1 species
GAUGAACGCUGGCGGCGUGCCUAAUACAUGCAAGUCGAGCGAACAGAUGAGGAGCUUGCUCCUCUGACGUUAGCGGCGGACGGGUGAGUAACACGUGGAUAACCUACCUAUAAGACUGGGAUAACUUCGGGAAACCGGAGCUAAUUCCGGAUAAUAUAUUGAACCGCAUGGUUCAAUAGUGAAAGACGGUUUUGCUGUCACUUAUAGAUGGAUCCGCGCCGCAUUAGCUAGUUGGUAAGGUAACGGCUUACCAAGGCAACGAUGCGUAGCCGACCUGAGAGGGUGAUCGGCCACACUGGAACUGAGACACGGUCCAGACUCCUACGGGAGGCAGCAGUAGGGAAUCUUCCGCAAAGGGCGAAAGCCUGACGGAGCAACGCCGCGUGAGUGAUGAAGGUCUUCGGAUCGUAAAACUCUGUUAUUAGGGAAGAACAAAUGUGUAAGUAACUAUGCACGUCUUGACGGUACCUAAUCAGAAAGCCACGGCUAACUACGUG